UAACCAUGGUGUGGGCAAGCAUUUAAAAAAUCUUUGAACCUUUCCCAAGAUUGACAAAAAGUUUCAUUUUCCUUUUGAGCAAAAUUCAUGAUUUAUCUUUUUAAAGCA